rnacentral:misc_RNA from 1 species
AUGGCCCGUGAAAUGCCUGGGUAUUUCUUCUUUUUUGGGGGUUAUGAGUUCACCCGCCACAUGUUGACACCUGAAGGAAAGACAAAAGAUGAGAUAGGGGCUGCAAGGACAGUGGUGGCAGGUGGUGUUGGGGGACUGUGUCUCUGGUCAUCCAUCUUCCCAACAGAUGUGGUCAAGUCUCGGAUACAGGUGGAGAGCACAGUUGGAAAGAUAGCCCCAGGAUUCCUGACCACAUUCAACAAAAUCCUCAAAACAGAAGGUCCCAAGGCGCUGUACAAGGGUCUCGGUCCAACGUUAGUGCGAACCUUUCCCGCCACUGGCUCCCUGUUUUUAGCAUACGAAACCACGAAAAAAUUCCUGACUAACUUGGCGGACGGAAGAUAAUGCUACACUUAGAUUUAGGAGUUGCCAUACAAAUAGAUAAAUAAUUGCAUGAUGACUUUAUGAAAACAGAAGAGCUGGAUAAUUUGAAUCUGUCAAUGCUAUUGAGAAUUGAACGUGAUUUGUUUAACUGCAUACAUCAAACACUUAUUGACAUCGUUCAGCAGAAAAUCGGGCUGUCGAGUUUUGCUGAGAUUGAUUUGACGUGGUCGAAGGUAAACAGACAUCGCUGGAAUCGUCAGCAUGGGAAUACUGUGACAGAUGUACAGAAUGGAGCCCUCGACUUUUACGUUCUGUAAACUGCUGCAGGAAAUUGCAGAGGACAAAUGAAUUCUCAUUUCUCCACAAUCACACUGAUUCACAGAAGAUCUGAUUAUAUUUGGGUUUUUUUAUGCCCUAAGGAAUAUUUGUAUUGUGAUUUCUAUAUUAUUUUUUUAUUCUGUAUUUUUAGGGGAUCGUUUUAUUUUCCAGAUUGUCUGGCUAAACUAAAUAUUGAUAAAGUGUACUACUAUAACUUUAAUAAAUUGUCGAAAAUUUUCGAAGAAUGUUUUAAGUUGUAAAUACUAGUAAUGUGUUAGCUAAUUGUUUACAAAUAAAGUAGAUGUAUGG